CAUCCCCAGCCUCCCCAGCCCGGCGCUUCCCUGCUCUCCUGCCUGCAAAGCGCCCUCUGGAAAGCAUCGAGACUUCUUUUAUGAGCCGUGUGCGGCCCCAGCCCUGAAGAAGAGCUCACCCAGGGGUGAGGCUGAGGCACACCUGAGCAUUUGGCGUGAACCUGUGACCGCAUAUGUGCUUGCACAGAGACACCUUUGAGAGAAUGUCCCGAGACAGUGUUACAGAUUUUGGUGUCAUUCUGGAACUUGGAAAAAUUCUUCUCUGGCCAUAAAGAAGACUCUUCCUGGAGUGUAGGCGAGGGUGUACACGGAGACUGUGCACAAAGUACGGAAUCGUAUUUUGUAUUUUAUUUUUCAGCAGCAACAGUGAGUGCACAUUUUGCAGCCUCUGAAUACUGCAAAUGCCAAAUGAGCAAAGUCUGAAGCAACAGAUACUCUUUCUCCAGCUCGUUCCACUUGCUCUGGAAAUACCUGAUUUGAAGACUUUACUGUUCCUAAAUUUUAAUUCUGCAAGGAGAGACAGAUGAGGAGGAAAAGCCAUGAGCACUAGCAGCGACUCCAACAGGCACAGGCUCUUGGUUGCCUGGAGUGGCAUUUCGGUUCAGUGAGGCCAUGAUCCUACAACUGACUGCACCCAUGUCCCCAUAUAUCCAGCUGAGGUUCCUGAAGCCACGCAUAGGAUCAGUAGGAGGAGUUUCACAUACGGUCAGUAGCAGACUGAGUCACAUCACGCAAGGACAGAGUUGUUCUUAGUCCCUGAGCUUGGCUGGUGCUUCUGGACAUAACUGUAAUUUAGGUUAUUUAACAUUAAAAAUGAUUAAUGUGUU